CCGCACACGCGCACCCCGCUCCUCCUCUCCUUUGCGCGGCUGCCGCCCGUCAUCCUCCCCCGCAUCACGCGCGCACGCGCCCCACUCCAUCCUCGCCGCCCGUCCUCCUCCUCUCCUCUGCGUCGUCGCCGUUGUCCAUCGCCACCGCGCCCUCCUCCUCCUUCCACCUCCUAGCCCGCGCCCAAUCUCCGCAGCCCUUCUUCCCUCCCUGCGCCCGAAACCCUAGCCCCCAACCAUGGUGCCCGAAUCUGCAGGAGGUGUAGCAGAGAGGUCCCAGUGACCACGGCGGCGCAUUCGCGGCCGGUCCACCUCGGGCUGCUUCUCCACCACCACGCACUUGCCCCGCGUGCGCUCCUUCUCUCCCGGGAGUGGGCCGCAGCCAUGGAGAGUGGCCAGAGGAUCAAGGACGGCCAACCCCUACCUCCUCUCCAGCACGCUCGUCUUUGCCAUCUCUGCCGAAAAAGGAGACGGGAGCAAGAUGAGAAGACGAAGGAGAAGCCCUGCCAUCUCUGCCCCGUCCACUGCGUUGAGCGCGGCGACCGUCUGGGCUCUGCUUAUGCACCCCCAAACUAUUCACCUCCACGCCCCUUCCAAUCUCCCCAUCCCUUUCUUGCAAGUAUCCACACUCUCUCUUCCUCCUGAUUAACCUGCCCCCCAUUCAUGCCCUCCUCUUAUUUGAUUUAACCACAAGAAUUUCUUAUCUUUGUUUGUGCAGAUCCUUUUUGUGUAUGCCUACAAGUUGUUCGAUAAAAAUCCAAGCAGGUAUGCUUAGUAACGUCAAAGAGAUGCCGCCCAUUACAAAUUAUGAUAUUCAUCAUUACACAUUAGCACCACCAUGGAUAGCCAAGAUCCUUCCCAGCCAUGAUAAUCAGAGUGAACUUUGCUGUCAUUUUCAUCUAUCCAUCCAGAGGAAGUAGAUGAUUGAUAGAGAUUCGGAGAAAGCAAUUAAUAAAUGAAGAUCUCGAGGCUCCUAUUUCUUCAGAUUCAUUGCUAGCCCCACAAAGGAAGAGGAUGCCAGGACGAGGACUGUAAUCAAUCCCCACCUUACUGUCCCAACGACAGUGUCAAUGACUCCGAGCCUAGCAUUGUCGUCUUAUUUUCAUGACGGCGUGGUGUCUCGACGCGUGAUGGAUUCACUCACACGGAGGAAGCUUUUCUCCGCUACUCCGGUGACAAGCGCACAAGCUUUUGGGUCCAUGGCGCCACCGGUAAACAAGCCUGACAACAAAAGAAAGGGAUGUUGCCCCGUUAUCGUCGUCAUCCUCACGGGUUUUUCUCUAUCCACUUAGACGGAUUAUCACCCUUUUCAUGGAAGGAUAUAUAAGUUUAGAUCUGAAUAUAUUGUUAAGGCAUUCUCAGUAUCGAAUAUAUGAUGGUACAGAUUCCAGAGUCAUCAUUAUAAACAACAAGGGUUUAUGCCUUUCCAAAUUAAUUAUAGCCUCUGAACAUGAUGAUCAUGUGGACUAAGCUUGCAUGUGGGUGCGCCAAGGAGCAUGUCCAACCUAUGAAGGGAUAACAAUAAUUGGUCAGACUUUGUGAAGACAUCAUGGAUUGGAGAACGUCAGAUAUGUGUCCUUGCGUUCAAGGCUAAAAGGGGCAAACUGUUGCUUGCUAUCUACCUGCUUUGACAAGGUUGGUUACUAGGUCGUCAUCAUACAUGCAAAUGUUCCCUUUGACAAGGUUGGUUACUAGGUUCUUUGUGAGUGUUUGGUUGGACUUAUGUUGCACCGCUGAUCUGGCUCGCUUUGGUUAUCUAACAAACCAACUAUUGUAUCUACUUGGCGCCAAUUCAUCGGCUUGGCUUACUUUUGGAACAUGGUGCAUAUUUCCCCAUUUGUUGUGAACUUCCAGAUCUAAUGGUGCCAUGCUUUUGGUAUAUUUGAUCGCCUUAUCCUUCCACAGUGCCUGGAUAACUCUUCUGGCUCGCUUUGGUUAUCUAACAAACCAACUAUUGUAUCUACUUGGCGCCAAUUCAUCGGCUUGGCUUACUUU